ensembl:lncRNA
GGCACAGCAUCGACUCCCUCUAAUACUAUGGAGCAGGAUGGCCACAAACUGGGCCAAAGUGUAGGACUUUCUAAGCGAUUUUAACUCAUUACAGACCAAUAUCUAAUCGAUCAGUUAAAUGACAUUAUUGUUGCUCUUGAUGAGAAGCAACGUCAUGCAUCAGUUUUUAUUGAUCCGUCGAAAGUGUUUGACACCGCUGACCGUAAUAUUUUAAAAAACUUCGACUCCUCUGUUAACAAAUUAUCUCAGUAAUAAGCCUCAAGGGGGCGCCACAGGGUUCUGUAUUAGGUCCUCUUUUGAAUUCUGCUCUCUACCAGAAAAACCUGAAGGAGAACCUUCGGCCAUCAGUUCGUGACCUCAAGCUGAAGAGCACUUGGGUUCCGCAGUAGAACAACGAUCUGCGAUCCUCCAGGUUCGUCUCCUCGGGUCGGUCGGGUUUCAUUCCUCCAGGUUCGUCUCCUCAAGUCGGCAGGGUUUCAUUCCUCCAGGUUCAUCUCCUCAAGUCGGCCAGGUUUCAUUCCUCCAGGUUCGUCUCCUCAGGUCGGCCAAGUUUCAUUCCUCCAGGUUCAUCUCCUCAAGUCGGCCAGGUUUCAUUCCUCCAGGUUCGUCUCCUCAGGUCGGCCAAGUUUCAUUCCUCCAGGUUCGUCUCCUCAGGUCGGCCAGGUUUCAUUCCUCCAGGUUCAUCCCCUCUGGUCGGUCGGGUUUCAUUCCUCCUAGUUUGUCCACUCAGGUCGGCCGGGUUUCAUUCUUCUUGGUUUGUCCACUCGGGUUGGCCUGGUUUCGUUCCUCCAGGUUCAUCUCCUCAGGUUGGCCUAGUUUCAUUCCUCCUAGUUUGUCCACUCGGGUUAGCCAAGUUUCAUUCCUCCAGGUUGGUCUCCUCAAGUCAGCAGGGUUUCAUUCCUCCAGGUUGGUCUCCUCAAGUCGGCCAAGUUUCAUUCCUCCAGGUUGGUCUCCUCAAGUCGGCAGAGUUUCAUUCCUCCUGGUUCAUUCACUCUACCAGAAAAUCCUGAAGGAGAAUGUUUGGCCAUCAGUUCGUGAUCUCAAGCUGAAGAGCACCUGGGUUCUACAGCAGAACAACGAUCCAAAACACACCAGCAAGUCGACGUCUGAAUGGCUUAAAAAAAAAAAAAGACUAAAGGAAGGUUUUGGAGUGGCCUAGUCAAAGUCUGGACUUGAAUCCAACUGAAAUGCUGUGGUAAGACCUUAAAAAGGCCGUUCAUCCUCGAAAACCCUCCAGUGUUGCUGAAUUAAAACAAUUCUGCCAAGAGGAGUGGACCAAAAUAUCUCCUGAGAGAUGUGGAAGACUCAUUGGCAGUUAUAGAAAACAUCUGAGUUCAGUUGUUGCUGCUGAGGGUGGCC